rnacentral:rRNA from 1 species
AUGAGAAAAUUAAGGCUGGUGCACUUCCAGUUCAUAACCGACCGAAUUCGAUCUAGGCUGGCGGGAUGGAAGGGCCGGCUCAUGAGCAUGGCUGGCAGGCGAGUCCUCGUGCGUGCGGUGCUAACUGCGCUGCCAGUGUUUGCCAUGACCGUCCUCAAGGUCCCAAAGAAAAUCCUAAGAGAAGUGGACAAGGCUCGCAGGCAGUUCCUCUGGGCGCAGGACGAGAAAAUCACCGGGGCCAAAUGC